AUUACCUACGGGGGGCAGCAGUGAGGAAUAUUGGUCAAUGGCCGAGAGGCUGAACCAGCCGAGUCACGUGAGGGAAGACGGCCCUACGGGUUGUAAACUUCUUUUGUCGGGGAACAAAGGCGGAGACGCGUCUCCGGAUGAGUGUACCCGAAGAAAAAGCAUCGGCUAACUCCGUGCCAGCAGCCGCGGUAAUACGGAGGAUGCGAGCGUUAUCCGGAUUUAUUGGGUUUAAAGGGUGCGCAGGCGGGAGAUCAAGU
rnacentral:rRNA from 1 species